AUGCAUUUGAACCUGCCACAACUAGGGUUAAAGAGAUUGUUGGAACAAUAGAUGGAGUUAGGAUCAGAAUCCUUGACACACCAGGUCUCAGAUCCCCUGUGAAGGAAGAAGCUACCAACAGGAAAAUAUUAGCAUCUAUAAAGAAGUUGACAGAGAAGUUCCCUCCAGAUGUUGUCCUCUAUGUUGAUCGGCUAGACACCCAUGCAAGAGACCUCAAUGAUUUGCCAUUGUUAGCCUCACUUACUAAUUCUCUCACCGCAUCAAUAUGGCGAAAUGCCAUUGUCACUCUGACCCAUGCAGCUGCUCCUCCUCCCGAUGGGCUAUCUGGAUCACCCC
rnacentral:misc_RNA from 1 species